ACACCAAACAAUUUGACCUGUGAGCUCCGGAGGCAGGAAAAGCAAAGUUUCCCUGUGAUAAUGGCUAAAGUUUCUAGCAUCAAAGAGUAAAAAAUAAAAAAGACUGAAAUUGUGGCUACGUAGCUUGUUUUUCAUCCUACUAUAAAAGGUGCCGGGAUCUGCAACAGUAUCCUGAUGCAGAAAUCAAGACCAUCAUCAGGACCUGAUAACUUGCACCCAAGAGUUUUAAAACAAUUGGCCAAGGAGCUUUCUGAAUAACCCGACGCAGAACCCUCAGCACACUGAGCCACUUUUGAGGAAAGAAAAUGUGAGUGUGGAUGUGUACCAACACCCUCUGCAGGAAAGUCAGACUUGCUCAAGUGCCUGUGAUCAGGUCAUCCUCUAAGGCAGAGGUCCCCAAACUGUGCUGAACAAUGUUUGGUGGUGGGGCACAGCAGGGCCUGUGCCAGCCCCCAUGGGGGGGGGGGCAGGGAGGAAGCGCCACCCAGCCCCUCCUCACCCCCAGCUCUGCUCCCAGUCCCACCUCCAGACUCGGCAUGGCUCUGCUCCCGGCUCCAUCCCCACUCCUAGGCUUGGCCCCUGGCUGUGGCUCCAUCUCCGCUCCUGCUCCCAGCCCCACUUCCAACUGCGGCCCCAGCCUCGGUCCCAUUACCCCUGUGGAAACAGAGAAAGAACUGACAGGAAGGGGAUUGCAAUGCAUGACAGUUUGUUUGUAAGAGUCAGGCUAACUGUAACCCUAAUAACGCGAGAUUUGUAGAAGCGAGGAUUGUGUGAGGCG